UGGACAGGGUGGCCACAUCAAAGUGUUUGAUCACCACCGAACACCUCCUCACAUCCAGCCAUGGUUUCUCAGGAGGCUGUUCCUCUUGGGCAUGGGAAGGGAAGCCAUUGGGCUCUCAUAUGGCUGGCGGCCUCCGUUCUCUGUGGGUGUAUGGAAGAUCGUUGCUGGGCUGCAAAUGUUAACGAGUCGAGACAAGAUCAGUGUGACCAAAGGAGAAACCACAACCCUCACCUUAAACCAAAUCCCUUAAAAUCAAAGCCAGUGUCAGAGGAGCAUGUACAAGAGGAGGCCAAGGUUGGGACUACUGGGAUCAGUGUAUUCCUCUUUGAUUGAAGCAUUAACGUGUGCGGUGACGAAAAAGGAUGUGUAAGACAUAUACUGUAUGACGUUUGGGAAUGUAUUAUUAGCAGUUAGACAAUGAGGAGUCAAGUUUUAUGGCUGUUAAGUGACCUCUGUCUCUGGUGUGGCCAUGUUGUUUCCCUUGUCAUUCUGUCAACACAUUUAGUACACGCAUAUGACAGAGGGAAUUAGCCAUCCACGUUACACAUGACAUGCCCAUGGAGACAUACAGUAUGUUACUAUACAGUACAUUCUCACACAAACACAUGUUGUUUACUCUUGAUUGCAUACCUUUUGAUUUAGAUUCUUUCCAGAAAUAGUUUAACAGGAUCUGUUUGAUAGACAAGUAAUUAACCCAAAGUGUUAUGAGGAGACAUUUCCUCCAUAUAAUGUGCUUUUGGCAAUCCUAUCUAUUCUAACUUCAGAAGAAGAAAAUACAUAUAUAAAUAUGAUUUUGUACGUUUGCCCACUGACAAAGAAAUGAUCAGUCUAUAAUUUUAAUGGUAGGUUUAUUUGAACAGUGAGAGACAGAAUAACAACAAAGAAAUCCAGAAAAACGCAUGUCAAAAAUGUUAUAAAAGGAUUUGCAUUUUAAUGAGG